rnacentral:rRNA from 1 species
CCUACGGGUGGCAGCAGUGAGGAAUAUUGGACAAUGGCCGAGAGGCUGAACCAGCCAAGUCGCGUGAGGGAAGACGGCCCUACGGGUUGUAAACCUCUUUUGACGGGGGACAAAGCGAGUCACGUGUGACUCAUGGAGAGUACCCGAAGAAAAAGCAUCGGCUUACGCCGUGCCAGAAGCGGGGGUAAUACGGAGGAUGUGAGCGUUAUCCGGGAUUAGUGGGAUUAAAGGGCGCGCAAGUGGAGGUGAAAGGCAGGUGUCAACUUGCGGGUCAAAAACCCGUACUGUCGGUGAAACUGCAUACCUUGAGUGCGCGAGGAGUAAGCGGAAUGGGUGGUGUAGCGGUGAAAUGCAUAGAUAUUACACAGAACUCCGAUAGCGAAGGCAGGAUACCGGCGCGCAACUGACGCUCAUGCACGAAAGCGUGGGUAGCGAACGGGAUUAGAUACCCCGGUAGUC